rnacentral:rRNA from 1 species
UGGGGGAUAUUGCGCAAUGGGGGAAACCCUGACGCAGCAACGCCGCGUGAAGGAUGAAGGUCUUCGGAUUGUAAACUUCUUUUAUUAAGGACGAAGAAAGUGACGGUACUUAAUGAAUAAGCUCCGGCUAACUACGUGCCAGCAGCCGCGGUAAUACGUAGGGAGCAAGCGUUGUCCGGAUUUACUGGGUGUAAAGGGUGCGUAGGCGGCUUUGCAAGUCAGAUGUGAAAUCUAUGGGCUCAACCCAUAAACUGCAUUUGAAACUGUAGAGCUUGAGUGAAGUAGAGGCAGGCGGAAUUCCCCGUGUAGCGGUGAAAUGCGUAGAGAUGGGGAGGAACACCAGUGGCGAAGGCGGCCUGCUGGGCUUUAACUGACGCUGAGGCACGAAAGCGUGGGUAGCAAACAGGAUUAGAUACCCUGGUAGUCCACGCUGUAAACGAUGAUUACUAGGUGUGGGGGGUCUGACCCCUUCCGUGCCGGAGUUAACACAAUAAGUAAUCCACCUGGGGAGUACGGCCGCAAGGUUGAAACUCAAAGGAAUUGACGGGGGCCCGCACAAGCAGUGGAGUAUGUGGUUUAAUUCGAAGCAACGCGAAGAACCUUACCAGGUCUUGACAUCCAACUAACGAAGUAGAGAUACAUUAGGUGCCCUUCGGGGAAAGUUGAGACAGGUGGUGCAUGGUUGUCGUCAGCUCGUGUCGUGAGAUGUUGGGUUAAGUCCCGCAACGAGCGCAACCCUUGCUAUUAGUUGCUACGCAAGAGCACUCUAAUAGGACUGCCGUUGACAAAACGGAGGAAGGUGGGGACGACGUCAAAUCAUCAUGCCCCUUAUGACUUGGGCUACACACGUGCUACAAUGGCGUAAACAAAGGGAAGCGAACCUGUGAAGGUGGGCAAAUCCCAAAAAUAACGUCUCAGUUCGGAUUGUAGUCUGCAACUCGACUACAUGAAGCUGGAAUCGCUAGUAAUCGCAGAUCAGAAUGCUGCGGUGAAUACGUUCCC